rnacentral:rRNA from 1 species
AUUGAACGCUGGCGGCAUGCCUUACACAUGCAAGUCGAACGGCAGCACGGGUGCUUGCACCUGGUGGCGAGUGGCGAACGGGUGAGUAAUACAUCGGAACAUGUCCUGUAGUGGGGGAUAGCCCGGCGAAAGCCGGAUUAAUACCGCAUACGAUCCACGGAUGAAAGCGGGGGACCUUCGGGCCUCGCGCUAUAUGGUUGGCCGAUGGCUGAUUAGCUAGUUGGUGGGGUAAAGGCCUACCAAGGCGACGAUCAGUAGCUGGUCUGAGAGGACGACCAGCCACACUGGGACUGAGACACGGCCCAGACUCCUACGGGAGGCAGCAGUGGGGAAUUUUGGACAAUGGGCGAAAGCCUGAUCCAGCAAUGCCGCGUGUGUGAAGAAGGCCUUCGGGUUGUAAAGCACUUUUGUCCGGAAAGAAAUCCUUGACUCUAAUACAGUCGGGGGAUGACGGUACCGGAAGAAUAAGCACCGGCUAACUACGUG